rnacentral:rRNA from 1 species
GACGAACGCUGGCGGCGUGCUUAACACAUGCAAGUCGAACGAAGUGGCGAACGGGUGAGUAAUACGUGGGUAACCUGCCCUCCUUUUUGGGAUAAGCCUUGGAAACGGGGUCUAAUACCGAAUAAUGGGGGAUGGGCUCGCGGCCUAUCAGCUUGUUGGUGGGGUGAUGGCCUACCAAGGCGGUGACGGGUAGCCGGCCUGAGAGGGUGAACGGCAACAGUGGGACGGAGAUACGGCCUAGACUCCGACGGGGGGGAGCAGUGGGGGAGAUGGGACAAUGGGCGAAAGCCUGAUGCAGCGACGCCGAGUGGGGGAUGAAGGCUUUAGGAUUGUAAAACUAGUUCGCUAUAGAACGGGUAGGUGGAGAAGAAGCGCCGGCUAACUACGUGCCAGCAGCCGCGGUAAUUC